rnacentral:rRNA from 1 species
CCUACGGGAGGCAGCAGUGAGGAAUAUUGGUCAAUGGGCGCGAGCCUGAACCAGCCAAGUAGCGUGAAGGAUGACUGCCCUACGGGUUGUAAACUUCUUUUAUAAAGGAAUAAAGUGAGGCACGUGUGCCUUUUUGUAUGUACUUUAUGAAUAAGGAUCGGCUAACUCCGUGCCAGCAGCCGCGGUAAUACGGAGGAUCCGAGCGUUAUCCGGAUUUAUUGGGUUUAAAGGGAGCGUAGAUGGGUUGUUAAGUCAGUUGUGAAAGUUUGCGGCUCAACCGUAAAAUUGCAAUUGAUACUGGCAGCCUUGAGUACAGUUGAGGUAGGCGGAAUUCGUGGUGUAGCGGUGAAAUGCUUAGAUAUCACGAAGAACUCCGAUUGCGAAGGCGGCUUGCUGGGUCGAUACUGACAUUGAGGCACGAAAGCGUGGGGAGCAAACAGGAUUAGAUACCCGGGUAGUC